UACGUAGGGGGCUAGCGUUGUCCGGAAUCAUUGGGCGUAAAGAGCGUGUAGGCGGCUAGAUAGGUCCGUUGUGAAAACUCGAGGCUCAACCUCGAGACGUCGAUGGAAACCAUCUGGCUAGAGUCCGGAAGAGGAGAGUGGAAUUCCUGGUGUAGCGGUGAAAUGCGCAGAUAUCAGGAAGAACACCCGUGGCGAAGGCGGCUCUCUGGUACGUGACUGACGCUGGGACGCGAAAGCGUGGGGAGCAAACAGG
rnacentral:rRNA from 1 species